AUUGAACGCUGGCGGCAGGCCUAACACAUGCAAGUCGAGCGGAUGAAGGGAGCUUGCUCCUGGAUUCAGCGGCGGACGGGUGAGUAAUGCCUAGGAAUCUGCCUGGUAGGGGGGGAUAACGUCCGGAAACGGGCGCUAAUACCGCAUACGUCCUGAGGGAGAAAGUGGUGGAUCUUCGGACCUCACGCUAUCAGAUGACCCUAGGUCGGAUUAGCUAGUUGGUGGGGUAAAGGCCUACCAAGGCGACGAUCCGUAACUGGUCUGAGAGGAUGAUCGGUCACACUGGAACUGAGACACGGUCCAGACUCCUACGGGAGGCAGCAGUGGGGAAUAUUGGGCAAUGGGCGAAAGCCUGAUCCAGCCAUGCCGCGUGUGUGAAGAAGGUCUUCGGAUUGUAAAGCACUUUAAGUUGGGAGGAAGGGCAGUAAGUUAAUACCUUGCUGUUUUGACGUUACCAACAGAAUAAGCACCGGCUAACUACGUG
rnacentral:rRNA from 1 species